ensembl:lncRNA
UUUGAUUUCCACAGAAAUAGUGCUUCUACACAUUAUCUGCUGCACGUCUCGACAGGCUUGAGCUCAGUGAGUAACUUUUCUAAAAUGUUUCAGUAAAAAUAUCAAAUUAUGUCUUGGUAAUGUUAUGAUCAGGGUGAGAGGCAAACAUUAUAAAUGUUGUGCGUUCUUCUCAUUAAUGUUUUAUCGGGGAACAUGCAGCGGAGUGUGUCAAAGCGAAUCCCGCAUGACACACGCGCACACAUAUUCAAUUAGAUUUUCAAUUUUGUGCAGAUAUUUAUUAAAUGGCACUGAUUUUCCGGCACAUUUUAUUUUCCACCUGUGGCUAAUGUAUAAUGUAUGUGCUGUCAACCUUUGACGUUUAAAUUCUGGUACUCUCACGAGGCUUAAAUACAUGCAAACACCUGUUAAUUAUUUUUCAUCCACUGCAUUUAAAUGACUCUUAAAGGUUUGAUUACUUCCAGUUGAAGUCAUGCAGAUCUGAUGGAGAAAAGCAGAUGCUCUUGCGCAGUGAUAUAUGAUGGGCCUAAAGUAUGAUGCUGUUCACUCCUGAGAAGAAACACUGUUGCAUGAUGCAUGCACUUGUGUCCAGAGCCCCAUCUCAUGGUUCACAGGGGGCCCCCAAGAUUUGCGGUAAGCAACUGAGUUUACAUUGUGAGCACAUUAGGCAACUGUUAUUUAGACACUUUAUGAUCCUCACGAGGCAUUUUUCACAUAAGCAUCCAGGAUAUUUUACAAGCCCCCCCGCCCAAUCUGUUUUUUUUUUUUUUUAAAGAAACGAGAAGCACAGUUACAAAGCUCCCUGCUGAGGAGGUGGAUUCAGCCUCCAGGCUGAUCAUAUGGCCGGCGGCCUGAUUCGUGCAGCUCUUGACAGAUAUAAGCAGCCCAAAUUUCCCCCUGUUUUGCAGUCUGCCGCUCCAUGUGUUGCUUAUAUUUAUAGCCCUGGCUGUAGUGUCCGUGCACAUAAUAGUUUUAGCACUGCUGCCACGUUUGCAACAGCAAACACUUCAGAGUGGUAGCAAAGGAUUUGGGGUUUAAAUAUUAGUAUGUUUUGAAGGGUAGAGCUAAAAUUAGGCUUUUGUUUUCAGUAUGUUUUAUAAGGAUAGAGAGGGAGAUAAAAGUAGGGGUUUUGACCUUUUGGAAAGAAAUAAAAAUUUGGUAAUGGAAAUGAUUUGCA